GUGCUAUGUGGCCAGCCGUCCCCCGAACUUGAGUUGUGACACUAGUCCUCCUAACAUCAACCAACUUGGCCAGGCCAAAAUCACCAACAACUGCUUCAAAAUCCUCAUCAAGCAAUACAUUAGCAGCCUUAACAUCUCGGUGGAUAAUCUUUGGAUUGCAAUGUUCAUGAAGAUAUCCUAAACCACGAGCUGUGCCCAAUGCCACACGUUUUCGAGCAGGCCAAUCUAAAAUAGGUUCCCCAG
rnacentral:misc_RNA from 1 species